rnacentral:misc_RNA from 1 species
CUCCAAAACUAUGUACCUCUCCUACUUCUAUACAUCUUCGAGUAUUAAGAUUAAAAAAAAUAAUAAUAACAAUAAUAAUAAUUAAAAAACAAGAAAAUUGUCAGUUUCAGGAGGGUGAUUAUUGAGUCCUUUAACCCACACCCUUGUUUCUGUCGUCUCGUCUUCUUGAUUGGUAACCUUUUCCUCUUUUUCACCUUCAUUUCCGCUAAAUAUUCUCUGGACAAAAGACUCCACAUCAAUUUUCAUAGUUCCCUCCUUACCCUCCUUCUCCCAAAACUCAUAACUUGCCGGCGGAAUGUACGGUGGCCUCGCCAUUUGCAGUAUCAAAGCCCAGUCGAUGCCCUCAAAAAAUUCGUGGCGUUUGAUUUCUUCAGCUUUGAUCCUACUCUUGGGGUCUUUCACCAGUAACUUUCCUAUCAGGUCCCUCAACGGCGUCGCUUCCCCCACGAGAUCCGGCGAUUUCGUUAAAAUCUUGAAAAAUGUAUCCUUCCUAUUUGCACCCUUAAACGGUGUCACUCCAUACAACAUCUCGUAUAGUACGACUCCUAAGGACCACCAGUCCACCGCAAAAUCGUGGCCGUACCCUUGGAUUAUUUCCGGCGCCACGUAUUCUUCGGUUCCUACGAACGAGUUGGACUUUUCGAUGGUGUCUAACUCCGGAGGUGGCGUGCUGAGACCGCGUUCCGAUGAGUCGUCGGGCGAGAUACCAGAAUUGCAGCAGCGGUGAAAGAGAGAUAAUCGUUUUUUGUGAGACGAG